rnacentral:rRNA from 1 species
GUAAUUGGAAUGAGUGGGAAUUUAAACCUCUUCCAGUAGUAUCAAUUUGGAGGGCAAGUCUGGUGCCAGCAGCCGCGGUAAUUCCAGCUCCAAUAGCGUAUAUUAAAAUUGUUGCAGUUAAAAAGCUCGUAGUUGAAUUUCUGCUGCAUUGUCUAUUCCCUCCGGGGUCUUGUCACUGGGCUUUUUUCCGACUUGUCUCUGUCUGGAUGUUAACUUUGAUAAAAUUAAGUGCUCGCUCAGGCUUUUGCCUUGUUUUACAUGGAAUAAUAAAGUAGGACUUUGGUUCUAUUUUGUUGUUUUUAUACCAAAGUAAUGGUUAAGAUAACAGUUG